rnacentral:rRNA from 1 species
AGUCGUACGAGAGUUUUUAACUCAAGUGGCGGACGGGUGAGUAACACGUAAGAAUUUGCCUUUAGGAGGGGGAUAACAACUGGAAACGGUUGCUAAUACCCCAUAUGCUUUCGAGUGAAAUGGUUUUUCCGCCUAAAGAGAAGCUUGCGGCUGAUUAGCUUGUUGGGGAGGUAAUGGCUCACCAAGGCGACGAUCAGUAUCUGGUUUGAGAGGACGAUCAGACACACUGGAACUGAGACACGGUCCAGACUCCUACGGGAGGCAGCAGUGGGGAAUUUUCCGCAAUGGGCGAAAGCCUGACGGAGCAAUACCGCGUGAGGGAUGACGGCCUAUGGGUUGUAAACCUCUUUUUUCAGGGAGGAAUAAAUGACGUGUACCUGAGGAAUAAGCAUCGGCUAACUCCGUGCCAGCAGCCGCGGUAAUACG